UUUUUAAUAGGGAUGUCAAUUGUUAAUUAAUUACAUACGGUCGUUCUUUAAUAUAACAAAUCAUUUUACAGAAACAUUACGCAGCUUUUUUGGACACUAAAUGUCGUGGGAUGUUUGCUGCGGAGUUCUCUUUCACUUCAGGCCUGUUGCUAAAGGAAGGAUUUAUGACGAUGAUUUGGCGACGUGUUGAGAGGCCCCUUCAUAAAGAUUGUCGUAACAAAUGGUAGAGAAUUAAAGUUAAUACAGAUGCUGCUGAAACAACCAAUGAAUACAAAGGUAUUGUUUUUUUUUUUGGAGUCUCCACAAUUCAACAUUAUGCAGUUAAUUAUCGACCUGUAAGAGGGAGGUAACCGGACAUUACUUCAAAAACCACUGAAACAGCAAAUUGUCAGCAAUGGUAUUGUUUCUGGAUUUGGUUUGCUCAUCACACUAGUAAACUUUGGAACUUUACUUUCGAUAGUUAAUUAAGAUCGACGAUGGAGAAGACAAGGAAGAUCCCGUAGUUAGAAAAUUCCUUAACUUGCAUGUUAUAUCUAAUAGAAUUAUUUUUUUUAAGUUCAUUUUCAUUUGAAUUAAUUAUUGUUUUGCAUGCUCAUUAUAGUUUAUUUUAUUUGAGUUAAUUUUUGUUUGUAGAUGUUCUAACUUUUGUUUAGUAGAAGUUGUCUAACAUGUCUCUUGCUUACCUCUUCGCUUAGCUUACUGCAUAUUCUUACUUUAAAUUGCUUUGCAUUUACCCU
rnacentral:lncRNA from 1 species